CCCUUAGAUGUUCUGGGCCGCACGCGCGCUACACUGAUGCGUUCAUCAAGUCCUUCCUCGACCGAGAGGUCUGGGUAAUCUUUUGAAAGCGCAUCGUGAUGGGGAUAGAUUAUUGCAAUUAUUAAUCUUCAACGAGGAAUUCCUAGUAAACGCAAGUCAUCAGCUUGCAUUGAUUACGUCCCUGCCCUUUGUACACACCGCCCGUCGCUACUACCGAUUGAAUGUCUUAGUGAGGCUCCUGGAUCGCGGAAGCUCCUUCGGGUUGCGUUCGCGAGAAGGGAGUCAAACUUGAACAUUUAGAGGAAGUAAAAGUCGUAACA
rnacentral:rRNA from 1 species